UCUUAUGGAUGAGCGAAGAAAGUAGUUUUUUGAGAUAGACACUACUCCUGGUGAAGAUGCUGUGAA
rnacentral:pre_miRNA from 1 species